ACAAGAAUUAGUCAAAUCUUUUGACUGUAUUUUUCUAAAGUACAUUGAAGUAUUCUAACUCCUAAACAUAACAUGACAAAAUCAUCAAAUACUUUACCCAAAAUUUGUAUUGAUACUGAACAAAGAAAACGUAUCAAAGACAAGCAAAUUUCAAUCGUUAUGCUAAUUUAAUAACAACUUGCGCAGUAUCUCGCAAAUCUAUGUGAAGGCAUGAGUGAAAGUUCACCAAAUAUCUGUUUUUAAGGUUUUUCUUAUAUAACGAUAAAAAAAUAACUACGCAUCAUAGCUAAUUUUAUCUACAUUCUAAAGCAGAAUAUAUUCGUUGAAUUUCUUUGUGUUUAGAAAUAUCUUCAAGUUGAACAGCCAAAUAAAUUUAUAUAUACUGUUUACUUUAUCUAGUUUUAUCAGAUUCAUUCUUCAGAAUCCUCUCACUCUCUUUAGGCAGCACAUUCACAGAAUUUCUUUGAAUAUAUGAUAUUUAUAACAUUAAGUUAAUUUUUAACUAUAGAAAAGCCAUAAUAAAACAAUAAAAUUAUCGCAAUCACAAUGUGUAUGAUACAACCAAAACAUCAUAAGCGCUGUAAAAUACUUGGUGCUUAUGCGUUUAGGUCGCGAGAUUCAUGCUCUGCUUCUAUGGUUUGUUGUCAAAACAACAACAACUCAUGGUGCAAAAUAAUGAUCCUCUGAGCCGAUUCUAUACAUAGUAAUAAUAGUUUAAUGAUUUAUAAUGACGAUGCUACACUUAAUUCUACUGUCAAACUUGGUGCUAAUUUAGCUUAGACAGACUCUAUGAAUUAUAGAUUGCCCUUCUCAUUGCAAUAGAUUAAGUAAAAAAAUAUUUGAAAUUGGAAUGUCAUAUUGACAAAUUGCAGUUAUGAAAAGUCAUAAAUAUUCAUGAACAUGAAUCAAAUAAUAAAUAUUCGGCAAUAAAAUGUGGUUAACUGGAUAAUUUUUAUAGAAUUGAAGAGAAAACUAUCUAAUGAGGGAAGUUUUUUGUCAUGGGUUUUUGUGGUUUUCUUAUUAAAAAUGGGAUAAUUUUUGGAGCUGGAAUGUAUGCAGGAGUGUAUGUAGCUCAAAAUUAUCAGGGUGCCCUUGUGUAUUUCUGUGAGAAAACAAGUAAAGCUUGUGAUGAAACAUUGGAUGAUUAUAAAAAGCGACGAUAGAUAAAGUGGAAGACCCAAAGGUGUUAUUUAACAAAGUCUAUGACUCGAUUAAAGAGAAGAUUGAUGACUUAAAAAAUCCUAAAGAUAAAUGAAACUGGACAUGGAGAAAUAGCUGAAGAAAAUGCAUACAAUUUUGUAAAUAUGAUUUAUUUUAGUUAUUGUUAUACAAUGAUAAUUUAAAUAGUAAUAAAUAAUAUUUACUGAAA